AUACGGAGGGUGCAAGCGUUACUCGGAAUCACUGGGCGUAAAGCGCGCGCAGGCGGCUAUUUAAGUUGGAUGUGAAAGCCUACGGCUCAACCGUAGAACUGCAUCCAAAACUAUUUAGCUAGAGUGUGGGAGAGGAAGAUGGAAUUAGUUGUGUAGGGGUAAAAUCCGUAGAGAUAACUAGGAAUACCAAAAGCGAAGGCAAUCUUCUGGAACACUACUGACGCUGAGGCACGAAAGCGUGGGGAGCAAACGGGAUUAGAUACCCCAGUAGUCC
rnacentral:rRNA from 1 species